rnacentral:rRNA from 1 species
UCCUACGGGAGGCAGCAGUGGGGAAUCUUCGGCAAGGGGGCAGUGCGUAAUCUAGCAAUAGGGCGUGUGCCAAGAAGCCCUCAGGGUGGUAAAGCACUUUUGUCCGGAAAGAUAUAACCUUGUUUAAUCCGGGGGGUUGAUGGCGGUACCGGAAGAAUAAGCCCCGGCUAACUUCGUCCCAGCAGCCGCGGUAAUACGAAGGGUGCAAGCGUUAUUGGGAAUUACUGGGCGUAAAGCGUGCGCAGGCGGUUUUUUAAGUCAGAGGUGAAAUCCCCGGGCUCAACCUGGGAAUUGCAUUUGAGACUGCAGGUCUAGAGUACGGCAGAGGGGGGUGGAAUUCCGCGUGUAGCAGUGAAAUGCGUAGAUAUGCGGAGGAACCCCGGUGGCGAAGGCACCCCCCUGGUCCAAUACUGACGCUCAGGCACGAAAGCGUGGGGAGCAAACAGGAUUAGAUCCCCUGGUAGUCCACCCCAAAAACGAUGUCAACUAGUUGUUGGGUAUUCACUCUUCAGUGGCGCAGCUAACGCGUAAGCUUCCGCCUGGGAGU